rnacentral:rRNA from 1 species
CGGGACACGUGGUAUCCUGUCUGAAUAUGGGGGGACCAUCCUCCAAGGCUAAAUACUCCUGACUGACCGAUAGUGAACCAGUACCGUGAGGGAAAGGCGAAAAGAACCCCGGCGAGGGGAGUGAAAAAGAACCUGAAACCGUGUACGUACAAGCAGUGGGAGCACGCUUAGGCGUGUGACUGCGUACCUUUUGUAUAAUGGGUCAGCGACUUAUAUUCUGUAGCAAGGUUAACCGAAUAGGGGAGCCGAAGGGAAACCGAGUCUUAACUGGGCGUUAAGUUGCAGGGUAUAGACCCGAAACCCGGUGAUCUAGCCAUGGGCAGGUUGAAGGUUGGGUAACACUAACUGGAGGACCGAACCGACUAAUGUUGAAAAAUUAGCGGAUGACUUGUGGCUGGGGGUGAAAGGCCAAUCAAACCGGGAGAUAGCUGGUUCUCCCCGAAAGCUAUUUAGGUAGCGCCUCGUGAAUUCAUCUCCGGGGGUAGAGCACUGUUUCGGCAAGGGGGUCAUCCCGACUUACCAACCCGAUGCAAACUGCGAAUACCGGAGAAUGUUAUCACGGGAGACACACGGCGGGUGCUAACGUCCGUCGUGAAGAGGGAAACAACCCAGACCGCCAGCUAAGGUCCCAAAGUCAUGGUUAAGUGGGAAACGAUGUGGGAAGGCCCAGACAGCCAGGAUGUUGGCUUAGAAGCAGCCAUCAUUUAAAGAAAGCGUAAUAGCUCACUGGUCGAGUCGGCCUGCGCGGAAGAUGUAACGGGGCUAAACCAUGCACCGAAGCUGCGGCAGCGACGCUGAUGCGUUGUUGGGUAGGGGAGCGUUCUGUAAGCCUGUGAAGGUGUGCUGUGAGGCAUGCUGGAGGUAUCAGAAGUGCGAAUGCUGACAUAAGUAACGAUAAAGCGGGUGAAAAGCCCGCUCGCCGGAAGACCAAGGGUUCCUGUCCAACGUUAAUCGGGGCAGGGUGAGUCGACCCCUAAGGCGAGGCCGAAAGGCGUAGUCGAUGGGAAACAGGUUAAUAUUCCUGUACUUGGUGUUACUGCGAAGGGGGGACGGAGAAGGCUAUGUUGGCCGGGCGACGGUUGUCCCGGUUUAAGCGUGUAGGCUGGUUUUCCAGGCAAAUCCGGAAAAUCAAGGCUGAGGCGUGAUGACGAGGCACUACGGUGCUGAAGCAACAAAUGCCCUGCUUCCAGGAAAAGCCUCUAAGCAUCAGGUAACAUCAAAUCGUACCCCAAACCGACACAGGUGGUCAGGUAGAGAAUACCAAGGCGCUUGAGAGAACUCGGGUGAAGGAACUAGGCAAAAUGGUGCCGUAACUUCGGGAGAAGGCACGCUGAUAUGUAGGUGAAGCGACUUGCUCGUGGAGCUGAAAUCAGUCGAAGAUACCAGCUGGCUGCAACUGUUUAUUAAAAACACAGCACUGUGCAAACACGAAAGUGGACGUAUACGGUGUGACGCCUGCCCGGUGCCGGAAGGUUAAUUGAUGGGGUCAGCGCAAGCGAAGCUCUUGAUCGAAGCCCCGGUAAACGGCGGCCGUAACUAUAACGGUCCUAAGGUAGCGAAAUUCCUUGUCGGGUAAGUUCCGACCUGCACGAAUGGCGUAAUGAUGGCCAGGCUGUCUCCACCCGAGACUCAGUGAAAUUGAACUCGCUGUGAAGAUGCAGUGUACCCGCGGCAAGACGGAAAGACCCCGUGAACCUUUACUAU